rnacentral:rRNA from 2 species
GUUGUAUGGUUAAGUGACUAAGCGUACACGGUGGAUGCCUUGGCAGUUGGAGGCGAUGAAGGACGUAUUAACUUGCGAUAAGCCUAGUCAAGCUAGUAAAAAGCGCUUGAGACUAGGAUUUCCGAAUGGGGAAACCCACCUGCUUGCAGGUAUCGUUAACUGAAUACAUAGGUUAACGAGGCGAACGCGGAGAACUGAAACAUCUAAGUACCCGUAGGAAAAGAAAUCAA